UAUAAUUCUAAAUUAUUUUUUGUUAGAUGUAAAUAUUGAAUUGGCGGUUCUUGGUUAUGUGUGACGUCACGAAUUGAAUAUUUGAUCGACUUUGAUCGUUAGUGGAUCAGUCUUACUUCGUAUUUCGACGAGUGAACAUCGAAGAUCUCUCAAGACGUUUUUGUUGCAAGUAUCAACGAAGACUUAAAAAUUAAAUCGUGAGGUGAGGGUAAUUUUUUUCGUGAACCAACAACAAAGUCGAGUCUUUGAGCGACUUUGACAGUUUAAUAGUUCAGUUGUACUUUGUGCUUCGACGAGGAAAGUUAGAAAUUUUCUCAAGGUGGCAUUCGUAACUUUCGAAAUGAAAUAAUCGAGUGUUUGUGUCGCUAAAAUAAAAAUAUCGCGAAGCGAUAGAAAGAAGCAGUGGUUCGUUCGUUCGCGUUUCGCGAUUUAAACCAUAAGUGUUUUUGCAUAGACUGCGCGCAAUGCAGUCGUUAGAGUCAGUGUUUGUUCGUAAAGUUAUUUGCUUUCUUAACAGUCGCACAGACUGUAUUUAUAAUAUAUAGUAGAGAUUUCGCGAAAUAAAUUCAGUGACCGUUCGUUAAAAAAUAACUACCGCGAAUUAGAGUCAGUGCAUCACCGAAGAGGAUCUCGACCAACGUCGAUGUCGACCUACCUCAUUUUCAACCAACUACGAAUCGUCCACCCUCAAUUUCGACCUAAGUCGCUGUCCAGUGUUUUGGAGCCGUCGCAGAACUUCUUAAGUAGUGAGUUAAUUUUUAAGUCCCUCCGGUCACUCAAUCAUGUCGAGGACGAAAGGUCCGAAUCGGCACGAGUGAUUGGUUGUAAUUAAUUAGUAGAAGAGCAAUGAGUGACCACGAGUAAAUUUCUUCGCAGAUUUACUCGUGAAUGGUUCGUCAUUUUUUGAUUUAUUUAUUAGAUCAGGAUAGAGUCUUCUUGCUUAAACGCGUUAAUUAUAAUUAUUUCAAAUUUUGAAUAUUUCGAUGCAUUUUUAAAUAAUUUUCUCUCGCGAAAAUAGUAAAGUAUCGCGAUAUUCGCGAAUUUUAAUAAUGAAUAAGCAAGAAAACUUUCGCGAUGGAUAGUCUCUGGAUUACAAACGAAAUUAUAUAAUUUAUUUUAUAAUAAUUAGAGUAAUUGUUUGUAAGAAGGAGCAUCCAAUGACUUUUCAUAACAUUUUUAAUAGAGAUUAAGAAAUUGUGUUAAUAAAAGAAAAGUCUCAAUAGAGUCAUUGCUUUUGAAAGAAUAAAGUACAGUAGAGUCAUUGAUAAAAGAUAAAGAGACUUGUAGAAUCACAACGCGUAGAACAUAGAAUAUGUUAAUCAGAUUAGCUUAGUUAAUUUUUAGCUUAGGAUUUUCAGCAAUUAAUAUAUUAAUUCUCGUUUCCCUUCCGAUGCUUUCUCGAUUUUUCGUUUCAGGUUUGGUUUAGAGUUGCUUUAGAUUCAUUAGUUUUCUUCUAUGGCUUAGAAAAUGAUCGGUUGUAGUUCUUUAGUACUGACGAUAGUUAUCGAAUGCGUUCUAUGGUUGUGGUUAGGGCACGAAGCAAAGAAGAGGCUAUAUGCCGAAGAGGCCCCCACAUAUUGUGGCUCAAGAGGGCAACUAUUAGAUUAUUGAGUUAUUUUCGAAGGUUCGACAGAACAUUUCGAGAAUGGCUCUUAAUCAUACUUUCAUUAUACCAUGUUGUCACUCAAAAUGCUCUUAUAUAAUGAUAAUAUUAUUUUUAGAAACUGAGACUACGUAACAUUCCGUCUCCCAUCUCACAUUGCCACGCGUCCGCGAAUAGAAUUUUUACAUAUUUUAUACAUUUUUAUUAUUAAAAUCAAGUAAUAAAUUUUUCGCAUUUUUCUUUCCUAAAAUUCAAUUAAAUCCGUAAUUUUAUUUUUAUAAAAUCAAGUUUUAUAUUAAAGUAAUAAUUUCGAAACGUAUAAGAUAUGGCAAUUGUGAGGACCACUGAAAGUGCACUGAAUAAAAGUGCACAUGGGAACGAAACAAGAACAUUUAAAUACAUAGCAUAUUCUCGUUUCACUUUUACAGCAAGGAUACCCAACAGGUUUCCAGUAUCACCCAGCGCAUAGCUGCAUACUUUAGAUUAAACAAUUAUUUUAAAUAGUUGAUUAAACUGUUGAUUAGCUCCUCUAUCUUCUCUCGGGUGGGACCCUUGGGAGGGGCCCUCGGGUGUGGGCCUUAGGCGGGUUCGUUCUUUCACUAAGGAAAAGUUAGAUUCAAUUAUUGAAUUCUGAUUUUCGAAUGAACCGCUCUUCGAGAUACACAUUCAUCAUUCUGAAUUCUAUUUUUCUCACGCGCACAUAGACAAAUAUUAUAUCUGUUUCUCUGUUACAGGUUAGAUCAUCGAGGGACCGAUCAUCGUGAAAUUAAAUUUUUACAGGGAAGUUUUUGAAUAUAAAUAUCUUUUUGCAUUUAAUUUUGCAGAUAAUUUUUGCUCUUAUAUUUAAUUUUUAUUAUCUUUUU